rnacentral:rRNA from 1 species
CCUACGGGAGGCAGCAGUGGGGAAUAUUGCGCAAUGGGCGAAAGCCUGACGCAGCGACGCCGCGUGAGGGAUGAAGGUCUUCGGAUCGUAAACCUCUGUCAGCAGGGAAGAACGGUCACUGUGCUAAUCAGCAGUGAAUUGACGGUACCUGCAAAGGAAGCACCGGCUAACUCCGUGCCAGCAGCCGCGGUAAUACGGAGGGUGCGAGCGUUAAUCGGAAUUACUGGGCGUAAAGCGCUCGUAGGCGGUAUGUCAAGUCAAGGGUGAAAUCCCGGCGCUCAACGUGGGAAGUGCCUUUGAAACUGGCAGACUGGAGUGUGUGAGAGGAGAGUGGAAUUCGAGGUGUAGGAGUGAAAUCCGUAGAUAUCUGGAGGAACAUCAGUGGCGAAGGCGACUAUCUGGCACAUAACUGACGCUGAGGAGCGAAAGCGUGGGUAGCAAACAGGAUUAGAUACCCGGGUAGUC